rnacentral:misc_RNA from 1 species
UCGGUGAAGCGGUUGCCCUGCACGCCGGGAACCAUGGCGAGCAGGUCGUCCCAGUUGCGGAUGGCGAGUGGCAGGUUGGCCACCGCGUUCUGCGGGACCAGCCGACCCAGAAGCGCAUCGGACGUAUUGAGCACCGGCGUGCGGUCGGCGACCGUUACGGUUUCAGUGAUCGCCCCGAUGCGAAGCUUCACAUCCACGAGCGUUCGCUGCCCGACUUCCAGCUGGAGCAAUUGGGAGUCCUUCUGGAAACGCGCCACGUCCACUUCGAGAAGGUACUGG